UCUUAAGCUGUAAACAGAUUCUAAAGGUCUGCCCAAAAAGAAAACCAUAGGUAGAUCAACGAUUUCCCUGGUGUUGGCGCAGUAUUCGCGCACCCCAACUUCGGU
rnacentral:sRNA from 1 species